CGUUGCAAUGGCGCGGGCAGUGGCAUUGGCCUGACAAUAGAUCCAUGGUCGUAAUGCCGAUUGAGCUAAUUGGUCUUGUAGGAUAAUCACCGCUGCUGGACGGGCGGGCCGCCAUGGGCCAGUGCUUCUCGUGCGGGGAGCCACAGGAGCGCGACCCGCCGCCCAUCAAGCACAAAUAUGACGGCGUACCCACCACAGAGUGUCGUCCGAGCGUGCCCAGCGCGCCAGCGGCGGCCGACUCGCCGAGCCGG